GCAACCACCUCCUCCAACUCAUCUGGGGGAAUACCAAGGUGUUUCCAAGCAAACCAAGAAACAUCCCUCCAGCGUGUCCUGUGUCUGCCCCGGGGCUCUCUUCUGGGUUAGAGUAACUGGCAAAGCGUGAGAACAUAAAAGGCACAAAAGGUACAUUACUUGAGAGCUCAAUGAUGGGUGAAGGAGGUUUAUGAGGUCUGGCACAAGUCCUUCUCAAUGUGCUUCAGAGGACUGGUGAGUAUCCUGCCUUUUACUGUCAUUGUUCUAAUUUGGUGUGAGUACGCUCAAGUUCUUUUAGAU